AUGGCCUCCUAUGCGAGGUUGAAGGCCGAAUUUGAGGAGAUAGUCGCUGUUGAGAAGCAGUAUUCCCCUGGCAAGGUGAUGGCCCCCAUCGAGGAUGAGGAGAUGGCCCUCGGAGGGAUGGGAUCCCCCGGUGAGCUGGACAAGGUGCUGGUGGACAUCCUUGAUGUUUCCGACAUCACGACCCGUCAUGUGGACAACGCCCUAGAGAUCAUUUUCGAUGUCGAGGUCCAUCCUGUGGACAUCGCCCCGGAGAUCGAUUUCGAUGCUGCUAUCCAUCUUGUGGACAUCGCCCCAGAGAUCGAUUCCAAUAUCACGGUCCAUCCUGUGGACAUUGCCCCAGAGAUCGAUUCCCAUGCCGCUGUCCAUGCUGUGGUCAUUGCCCGAGAGAUCGAUGACAAGAAAUAG
rnacentral:rRNA from 1 species